rnacentral:rRNA from 1 species
UUGGAGGGCAAGUCUGGUGCCAGCAGCCGCGGUAAUUCCAGCUCCAAUAGCGUAUAUUAAAGUUGCUGCAGUUAAAAAGCUCGUAGUUGAAUUUCGGGACCAUCAUGUCGGUCGUGCCUCGGUACGUACUGGUAUUGUUGGUUUCUCCCUUCUGACGAACCAUGAUGUCAUUUAUUUGGUGUCGUGGGGAAUCAGGACUGUUACUUUGAAAAAAUUAGAGUGUUUAAAGCAGGCUCACGCUUGAAUACAUUAGCAUGGAAUAAUGAAAUAGGACGUUCGAACCUAUUUUGUUGGUUUUUAGGAUCAACGUAAUGAUUAAUAGGGAUAGUUGGGGGCAUUAGUAUUCAAUUGUCAGAGGUGAAAUUCUUGGAUUUAUUGAAGACUAACUACUGCGAAAGCAUUUGCCAAGGAUGUUUUCAUUAAUCAAGAACGAAAGUUAGGGGAUCGAAGACGAUCAGAUACCGUCGUAGUCUUAACCAUAAACUAUGCCGACUAGGGAUCGGAUGAUGUUAAUUUUUUAAUGACUCAUUCGGCGCCUUACGGGAAAC